AUUGAACGCUGGCGGCAUGCUUUACACAUGCAAGUCGAACGGCAGCGCGGGCUUCGGCCUGGCGGCGAGUGGCGAACGGGUGAGUAAUACAUCGGAACGUGCCCAGUAGUGGGGGAUAGCUCGGCGAAAGCCGGAUUAAUACCGCAUACGACCUGAGGGUGAAAGCGGGGGAUCUUCGGACCUCGCGCUAUUGGAGCGGCCGAUGGCAGAUUAGCUAGUUGGUGGGGUAAAGGCCUACCAAGGCGACGAUCUGUAGCUGGUCUGAGAGGACGACCAGCCACACUGGGACUGAGACACGGCCCAGACUCCUACGGGAGGCAGCAGUGGGGAAUUUUGGACAAUGGGCGAAAGCCUGAUCCAGCAAUGCCGCGUGUGUGAUGAAGGCCUUCGGGUUGUAAAGCACUUUUGGCGGGAACGAAAAGGACUGUGCCAAUACCACGGUGCGAUGACGGUACCCGCAGAAUAAGCACCGGCUAACUACGUG
rnacentral:rRNA from 1 species